GCAACCAGAUUUACACACGUAAGUUGGCAACCGGCAUACCCGGGUAUUCCACACGUUUUGAUGCAAAAAAUUAACGAUUUUCAUAGGUAAACAAUGCUUUCUAUAUUUUAAUGCUGUAAGCAAGUAGUGCCGACCAUAUAUUCUCUUCUAUUUCAUUUAUUCAUUAAGUUUUUUCAUUUUAUUAUAAAAAUAACGGUCAAAUUGAAAUUGGAGGAAUCGCUUGAAUUUGACUCGACAAUAGGCACAAUACGAAAAGAAGAAGAAGAGAAACGUCAUCCUCCAUACAAAAUGUAUGGAAUACCCGGGUAUGCUGGUUGCCAACUUACGUGGUAAAGUAAAAAAAAAUCAAAAUAAAAUACUUACAGGCUGUUUAAAAUUACAACUUGUGCACCAAAAAAUCAUAAAUUAAAAGUUGAUGGGCUACAGAAAAUUUCAGGCCAAUAAAAGCAGUGAAUCAAAAGUUAUUUCAGUUUAAAGUUGAAAAAAUACCCGGGUAUCCGGUUGCCAACUUAAAGGUUAAGCAUAACCCGUCCGGCAAAAUGAGUGUAUUUUUUGAGUGAUUUGAGUACCGUCCCCCGUUAGCAGUUACUCUUGGAGGAAUGAGUUACACCCUCGCGCGAGCCCUCCCCCUCCCCACCCGGAACGCACGGUGCGCUCUACAGUUCUCAAUGUGUUGUGUUCUUUCCAAUCAUGCUACCAACACAUCCAAAGAUAUUUGUUUCUUUCGUUUCUCGUUUUCUUUCAUGCAUUGCCACGAUCGCAAAUACGCACUUAUUCUAACAAGAAACACAAACACGGUCAUUUUUUAUUUCAUUAAAAACUUUAUUGAAACAUAAAUUACACUUUCACAACACAUUUAGAAUCCUUCAUACUCACGUAUGGCGUCAUACUGUAAAGUACCGGGUCGAGCCAGGCUGCGGGAAACUUGUCGGCAAUCUGCGUUGCCUCUGUUCAGCAAAUUCUUACCUAUCGAUGGACGCACUGCAUGUGCGUCUGUACACACUGUUAACGUAACACUUUAUCAAAACACACCGGCGCACGAGGCUUAUAACGAAAUGCGCAUCACCGCACAAACACUGCGCGCGGGACUAAAAACGAAACGCGCACAACCAUCUCCGACAAAGCGUCGCGCUGUACUGGUGGUUUUGUACGCGUAGAAGGGGGGACAAACAGAACGAUGGUUCGAUGCUGUAGUGUAAGCGAGACAACACGAUGUGACGAGCAGCUCCAAGUUGAGCUCGCUGAAAGAUGACACACACACACAUUCACAGACGGCUCGUCAAAGCACGGUAUUUGUAUUGGUGUUAGUGAAGCGCGCGUGUAAAACAGAAUGCGAACUCUCAUCGCAGCGCGUUUCUCCGUGCUUCCUCAAGCUUCCUCAUACCCCUCACACAAAUGGCCUGAAUCACACAAAAUUUGGGGUCUCAUUGUUUGCUUGGAAAUGGCUGUACAGCACUGUACGCGAUGACAUGUGAAACAUGCUAACCUGUAUGGCAGCAAUGGCGCAAGCUAUUGUGUCUCCGGAAGCUUUAUCGUGUCAAGUGUCAAACUUAUAAACAAAAGCGUCUGUUGUUGUAGUGCUCCCGAAAGAAUUGGAAAUUCAGUGUUGCAAUUAAACAAAACUGUCCUGUAAGUUGAAUAGUUAACCGGUAAGGACAGUCUUUAAUUCAGUCUUUAAGCAUCAAAAGCAGCUUCCAUUGAAAGAGCAGAGUCAAUGUUCUACAUCACACAUCGUCUAUGUCGAUCCAGCUUCAACAGGGGAGAACCUAGAAUCAACACAGCUCGCGACCAUAAUCAAUAACCAAAUGCAUAUAAUGGAAACCUACCCAACCAGCAAAACCGAAGCUAUUGGAAAACUUUCCUGUGUGCCAAAGCGAGAGAGCAUGUCUUCUUUCUCUAGAUUUUGGACGGCACAAUGCCGAUCGUGUGGUCUAUGAACGAAAAACGGGAGAAGGGGAAACCGAUAUCCUUGGAGUGACACACACGCAUGCAUCUGCAUGCGUAUUCCGCUGAACCGUGACUACACAUCUCUCUCGAUCUCCCAUGAUUUUUCUGCUAUCGCGCUCAUCCGGGUGUUAGGCAUCCUUAGUCUGUCCAGAACUUUCACUGUGGAAGGAUGUGUUGGAGUGAUGUGUGAUUUCUUGUGUCCCGUACUUUGCUCGUUUACGUUUUGUGCCGUGUUCCUUCUUCUUCAAUUAUGGAAUGAUUUAUCCUUGUAAAUUUCUAAGUUACAGUGCACGCGCAUGUUAAUCGACGGUUGCCAACAUCCCGCAAAACGAUCGACGGAAGGAAAACGGUGUCCGGUUUUAAAAUAUAAAGAUUUCAUUACAGCUCUUUCGUAGAAGAGCGCACUUCAAGGACGCCUAGGAUACGGCUAAACAUGCGCAGCACCAGUCCGUGACGUCAUUUCCAGACAGGCGCCGGCUGAACACGCGCAGCACCAGUCGAGGAUAUCCUAGCGCAGAGGGUAGAAGGAAGAACGAGAGGAAGGGUAACAGAAAGCAACCGCAGCAUUUGGAAGGGGUGAAGCAUCCUGCCGUAUACAGAGUGUGAGUGUGCCAAAACGCAUGUGGAAAGAGUAACACCAAUAAAUAGCAUGCGAAAGUGUGCAUAAAGCAAAAAGAAAAAGCGUCACUACUACAACCAGCAAUCCGAAAAUAUAAGGGGAGGGAUAAAUACAAAUGUAUGCGUAAGCAGGACCAGCAAUCCAAGCAUUUGAAUGUGUGCGUCGGUUUGUGCCGUGCUGAAAGUUUUUACUUUAGCUGCUGCUAGUGUAAAAACUUAAGGAAAGCUUAAAGUAAAAAUUUUUUACACGGGGCGCCUUCGGAAAUUGUUGGCUGGGUAGGACAAAAUAAUUCAGGCUCAAGCGAAGCUGCUCACAUAUUCCGAGUACGUUUUACAAAGUAUCAAAGAAAACCCGAUUGGUGUAUGGUCACUGCCAAAUAAAAAAUAUGACAACCUUUUGUCAAGUAAACCCAUAAGCGACUUCAGGGCAUUUUUUAUUAUGUAGAAACCCACGGACCAGCUUUGAAGAUCGUUGUACAGUUGUCCAUCAUCAUUAAUAGAGUUUUGAAUGGGAGUUAGGGCGGUG